CCCUUAUAUUAAUAUAUUAAAAAAUAACUUUUCCGGAAAAUAUUUUCGGGAAAUCUGUCAAACAGCAGAAAAUAUUUUACAUAGAUUCAAUCAAACACCAGAAAACAUUUUCCAGUAAGUCAUUUUACAGAAAUGUAAAACAUUUUCCAGAAAUCAUUUUACGGAAAACAUUUUACUGCCAAUCAAACAGACCCUUAAUGGGAUUGAAGAAAAAGUCUCAAAAGUUACUAAAGGAGUUAAAAAGUGGAAACAACCACUUGGCCAGUUAACUUUGAUGCAACUUUUGAUGAGAAUGCAAAACAGUCGGCAGUGGGAAUUGUGGCCAGGGACAGCGAAGGAAAUGCCCUUUUAUCACUUACAGAGAUUCACCACCAAGUAGCAUCAGCUUAUGCCGCAGAAGCAAUAGCUUACCGGACAGCAACUCAAAUCGGUAUGGACAUGCAAUGGCCAAACAUUAUUAUUGAAGGAUAUGCACUUUCAAUCAUUAAGAAGUGCAAAACAUAAACUAAUGACAAAUCAAGGGUCGGAGCAUAUAUUCGUGAUAAUCAUCAGUUACUGAUAAAAAUAAAAAGAUACUAUUUUGAGCAUACACCAAGGGAGGCAAACUAUCUGGCACACAAGCUAGCGAGAGAGGCUUUAAGAAAGAAGGAAGAAAUUUACCUGCUAGGCAGAGUUCUGGAAUAUGUUGAGCACCUGAAAGAAGAAGAACUAAAGGGAGAGCAAAGAAGAAGAUGAAAUGGCAGAUACAGAUUAAAGAGGCUGAAAAAGGGGGAAACCCAAAAAUUAGAUGAAACAACCUUAUUAAUAUCCGGGAAACGUCUUAAUGAAGAAAUGAAUAAUGAAUUUGAAAAGACGGGAGAGGAUUUGUUCAGAUUGGGUAAGAUUGCGGUGUUUUUUUAUUGGCUCUAGAGGCUUCUAAUUUAGUUUCUG
rnacentral:lncRNA from 1 species